UACGAAGGGUGCAAGCGUUACUCGGAAUUACUGGGCGUAAAGCGUGCGUAGGCGGUUUGUUAAGUCCGUUGUGAAAGCCCUGGGCUCAACCUGGGAAUUGCAGUGGAUACUGGCGAGCUAGAGUGCGGUAGAGGAUGGUGGAAUUCCCGGUGUAGCGGUGAAAUGCGUAGAGAUCGGGAGGAACACCCGUGGCGAAGGCGGCCAUCUGGACCAGCACUGACGCUGAGGCGCGAAAGCUAGGGAGCAACAGGG
rnacentral:rRNA from 1 species